rnacentral:rRNA from 1 species
GAUGAACGCUGGCGGCGUGCCUAAUACAUGCAAGUCGAGCGAACAGACGAGGAGCUUGCUCCUCUGACGUUAGCGGCGGACGGGUGAGUAACACGUGGAUCACCUACCUAUAAGACUGGGAUAACUUCGGGAAACCGGAGCUAAUACCGGAUAAUAUAUUGAACCGCAUGGUUCAAUAGUGAAAGACGGUUUUGCUGUCACUUAUAGAUGGAUCCGCGCCGCAUUAGCUAGUUGGUAAGGUAACCGCUUACCAAGGCAACGAUGCGUAGCCGACCUGAGAGAGUGAUCGGCCACACUGGAACUGAGACACGGUCAAGACUCCUACGGGAGGCAGCAGUAGGGAAUCUUCCGCAAUGGGCGAAAGCCUGACGGAGCAACGCCGCGUGAGUGAUGAAGGUCUUCGGAUCGUAAAACUCUGUUAUUAGGGAAGAACAAAUGUGUAAGUAACUAUGCACGUCUUGACGGUGCCUAAUCAGAAAGCCACGGCUAACUACGUG